rnacentral:rRNA from 1 species
GACGCUGGCGGCAGGCCUAACACAUGCAAGUCGAGCGGUAGAGAGGUGCUUGCACCUCUUGAGAGCGGCGGACGGGUGAGUAAUACCUAGGAAUCUGCCUGGUAGUGGGGGAUAACGUUCGGAAACGGACGCUAAUACCGCAUACGUCCUACGGGAGAAAGCAGGGGACCUUCGGGCCUUGCGCUAUCAGAUGAGCCUAGGUCGGAUUAGCUAGUUGGUGAGGUAAUGGCUCACCAAGGCUACGAUCCGUAACUGGUCUGAGAGGAUGAUCAGUCACACUGGAACUGAGACACGGUCCAGACUCCUACGGGAGGCAGCAGUGGGGAAUAUUGGACAAUGGGCGAAAGCCUGAUCCAGCCAUGCCGCGUGUGUGAAGAAGGUCUUCGGAUUGUAAAGCACUUUAAGUUGGGAGGAAGGGCAUUAACCUAAUACGUUAGUGUUUUGACGUUACCGACAGAAUAAGCACCGGCUAACUCUGUGCCAGCAGCCGCGGUAAUACAGAGGGUGCAAGCGUUAAUCGGAAUUACUGGGCGUAAAGCGCGCGUAGGUGGUUUGUUAAGUUGAAUGUGAAAUCCCCGGGCUCAACCUGGGAACUGCAUCCAAAACUGGCAAGCUAGAGUAUGGUAGAGGGUAGUGGAAUUUCCUGUGUAGCGGUGAAAUGCGUAGAUAUAGGAAGGAACACCAGUGGCGAAGGCGACUACCUGGACUGAUACUGACACUGAGGUGCGAAAGCGUGGGGAGCAAACAGGAUUAGAUACCCUGGUAGUCCACGCCGUAAACGAUGUCAACUAGCCGUUGGGAACCUUGAGUUCUUAGUGGCGCAGCUAACGCAUUAAGUGAC